GUCUCCUGAGCCUUGCUAAUGCAUGAUCCAUACCCGGAGAUAAAAGUCUAGACAAUAGACGGCUGUUUAUGACAACCAGGCUCUCCAAGUUUGGGGCCAGGCGAUAAAUCUCUGGCGAAUCUUCCUGUAACUCAACUUCUGGCUGUAGUGA
rnacentral:sRNA from 1 species